rnacentral:rRNA from 1 species
CAGUGCCGUAGUUAACACAAUAAGCACUCCGCCUGGGGAGUACGGUCGCAAGACUGAAACUCAAAGGAAUUGACGGGGGCCCGCACAAGCGGUGGAGUAUGUGGUUUAAUUCGACGCAACGCGAAGAACCUUACCAGGGCUUGACAUCCUCUGAAAAGCAUAGAGAUAUGCUCCUUAUCCUUCGGGGUAACAGAGAGACAGGUGGUGCAUGGUUGUCGUCAGCUCGUGUCGUGAGAUGUUGGGUUAAGUCCCGCAACGAGCGCAACCCCUAAGAUUAGUUGCCAGCACGUAAAGGUGGGAACUCUAAUGUGACUGCCGUUGACAAAACGGAGGAAGGUGGGGAU